rnacentral:rRNA from 1 species
AUUGAACGCUGGCGGCAGGCCUAACACAUGCAAGUCGAGCGAGCGGCGGACGGGUGAGUAAUGUCUGGGAAACUGCCCGAUGGAGGGGGAUAACUACUGGAAACGGUAGCUAAUACCGCAUACCAUCGGAUGUGCCCAGAUGGGAUUAGCUAGUAGGUGGGGUAACGGCUCACCUAGGCGACGAUCCCUAGCUGGUCUGAGAGGAUGACCAGCCACACUGGAACUGAGACACGGCCCAGACUCCUACGGGAGGCAGCAGUGGGUAAUAUUGCACAAUGGGCGCAAUCCUGAUGCAGCCAUGACGCGUGUAUGAAGAAGGCCUUCGGGUUGUAAAGUACUUUCAGCGGGGAGGCGUUACCCGCAGAAGAAGCACCGGCUAACUCCGGGCCAGCAGCCGCGGUAAUUC